rnacentral:lncRNA from 1 species
UCUUUGCUUGUUUACAGAAGAGAAAUGGCAUCUAAAAAGAAAACAGAAAAAACAUGGACUCGUUGCCCCACGUGGGAACCCGGCUGGUGCUUCUACCGUAGUCACCACGUUAUUUUGGAAUGGCAUGGAUGAAUAUGAAAGUAUGGAAGUUGGAAUUAUUCCUGGAGUUUGGCAGUUGAGUGAAGUGGAAUAACAGCAUGUGGCACAGAAUGUGGAAGCUGGAAUUACUCCUAAUCUGUGACAGUGUGGCUUAACAGCAUGUAACACAAAAAAUCUGGGAGCUGGAACUGUUCCUUCAGUUUUGGAAAGCAAGUUGUAUGGAAUAACACCUUGAUAGUGCAGAAAAUCUGGAAGCUGCAAUAGUGUAAUGGAAUAACAUCUUGAUAGUACAGAAAGUCUGGAGGCUGAUAUCACCGAGAUGCAGUGAAGAUAUGGAGAAGAUUGAAUAAUUUUGCAAAGGGGAUAGUAAUGUCUUCGGUGAUGUUGGUCUUAGCAGGCAUGAAGUACACGUGUUGCCCAGCUUUUCCUUUCAUGUAUGUUUUUAACACAUGGAUAUAGUAGCACUGCACACCCACAAUUUCAUGAAAUUAUUAUCAAUAACUUUGGCACAAAAAGUAGUCAUUGGUGUAGAAAGCCCCCAAGUGACUUUUAAACUUUGAGAGUAUGGGAAUUCCCUUUUAUCCAUGGGUACUAGACUCCUAACAGAAAUAAUCUGGAGUGUAUUUAAUGUAAAGGUAAAGAAUUAAUGCAGUGGUACAAGGAAAGUUGUUUUCUAGAACAGCAGAAUUGCUAUUAAAAAAUCUGUUAAAUUAUAUACAGAAUUUAAGAGGUUUCUCUUCUUGCACUUGUUAUCCACCUUUGGCACUGCUCUAUAAACUAGAACGACUCGCUAAGGAAGGUCGUGUAUCUAAAAUUGACGUGUUCCUUCCCCAUAUUCCCAGUGCUGUUUCCGUCUUUUUCAAUUGUGAUAGUCCAGAGAAAUUGAUUUCAUUGAUCAUAAUCCAUGGUCUUGCCUCACUCUAUAAAGCUGCUCAGAUAUCUCUGAUCUUCAAAAUUGCAUAGGUUUGGCAAUAAUUGCUCAGGACUUCAGAAGUUAAGAACAAACCCUGAUGACAUGUCCAUCUCAAAGCUUGCUUCUGUGAGACUUUCGACUGAGUGAACCAUGUGCCAUAGAAGCUGACCUCUGCAUGCUGAUAAUGAGUACGAAGCACUAAUGUUUGAAACUAGCCUUAUAAGUAAAGAUUGAAAUAUUUCCGUUAUACUCCCCUCAACGGUCGGUACAUCACAGCAUUAGGAAAUUUGAUUUGAAAUUGGUUGAUCCCACUGUAAAGGGCAUUUCAGUACGAAGGGUACCUAAAAGUCGGAUUUUUGAACUUCGGAUGUUUAAGCGAGAUACUGAUUAUUUUAUAUUGAAGAUGACAGUACACAGUAAUGCACUGCUGUUCAUUUGUUUAUGAUUAUAAUUUGCAUCACUGGUGAAUGUGGGAGCCACAUCCUUUUGUUCCCAGGUUGACAAAGGUGUAACAAGCCUGCCUGCCUUUAACCCUUGGAGAGAAUGAUGUACAUUUGCAAUAUUCAACUCUGAAGUUCAGUGUCCUUGCACUUUCUAGGUUUUGAGUUGUGCAUGUCAGUGUCAAUCAUCACAUUAAUUGGUUAUAGUGCAAUCAGAGUAAUAGUGUAACACUCGGGGAUACUUCAUGGCCUUUCUCACACUUCACCAUUUUCAGUAGGGAUUUCAGUCUUAGCCAAUGAAAUCAAAACCAUAACACUCUUCAUUUGCUUGACUAGGCAAUAAACUCACUCAGCUGCUGUGAUGGUAUCUGCUUUGUUUUGAGGUAUUUCUGAUGCAGAUGUGCUUGCCACUGAUGAGGUGCUGGGAACUACUACCUCUAUUUUUUGCUGUUUUUUUUUUUUUUUUUUUUUAAGUUGUUUCCUCACCUCAUGGAAGACCUUUUUACCAUUAAUUGUUAGUAUUGUCAGUGCUUUGGCAUUAAACUUGUGACACAAGGCAUGAGCAAGAUUUUGGUGAAAGGUCGUCAUGGUGUCCCAAGCUUUGUUUGAUUACACCUUUCUCCAUGAGGAGAAAGGCCCCUCACUGCAGUUAUCUGCAAAUGAGAGAAGGGUGUGAAAAUUUUAGCAUUUAAAGUGCACUAUUUACUGUCAAGGACUGUUUGUAUGGAAAACAGUGUUUGGUGAUAGCUGUCUGAUGCAGCCAAAUUCUUUUUUUGCCAAAAUUAAGUACUAAGUUCUUUUGAAGGUGGAUAGUUAGAACUGACAAGGAUAUGCUCUUUGCAAGGUUAAUUCAGUAUGUGAAUGUUUUGGUAGCAUAUGUCUGGAACACUGGUUGUGAUGCUGAAAUUUGUGGGUAGUGCAUUUACUCAUUAGCUUUUAAGAAAUUUUAGCAUGAUGUAAAAACCUUUGGAAUAAAUUGAAAUGAUAA